AUGUGGAUUAUUGGAAAGGGGGUGGAAGCCAAAAACAAAUAUCAAACUAGGAAGAUGUAUCAUGCUCUUAGAGGGGAUAAAGAAAAAGUUGUGUGGCGCAGGAUUAUGAUCGAUAAUCGAGCUAGACCAAUAGCUCUCUUCACUCUUUGGAUGACCCUUAGUGGUAAGCUGUCAACUAAAGAUAGCCUCAUUUGUUUCGGUAUGGUGCUAGAUCCGAAGUGUUUUUUUUUGUAA